GCGUUUGCAGAAUGCAUUGAUUGAUCAGUGAGUUGGCAUUGACCCGCCGGACGCAUUGGACAAAUUCGCAAUAUCCGGUGUAGCAGUUGGUUCCCAGGGUUGGCGCUGACGUCGGGCGCAUUCCGUAUUUCAUUAAUAAUUUUAAUUGCCACAGUGGUAACGUUGAAGCAGAACAUGGUGACGAAUUCGGGAAACAUAUGAAGUGAGUUAUGAGGCAGAAGCCGACCAACGAGCGAAUCUGCGUAUUGAGGAUUCGAGGCCCAUUCUUUAACGUCAUGGGAGAUUUUUUGAAACUUGUUGAACUCAAAGUUGGCUUCAAAUCCUUCCCCUUCAAGGUGAAUUAUACAACCAAGUUUACAUAUAAAAAAUAAAACCAAGGUUCAUCCUG